AAAACAUAGCUAUCAGAAAAAAUUAAUGGUAGUGAAACCUGCUCCAUGAUUUACACACACACUAAAAACAUAAAAAUAAUAAAAAAAAUUAAAUAGCUGCGGUAACCGUGACCGUACUAAGGUAGCAUAAUAAAUCGUCUACUAAUUAUAGAAUAGAAUGAAGGUCACACGAAAAUUCAACUGUCUCAAAAAAAACAUUUGUGAAAAUAAAAAGUACGUGAAUAUACACACACUAACGGCAAGACGAUAAGACCCUACGAACUUCACCAAAAAUUUACAUUUAAUUAAAAAAAUAUAAAUAAUACGUUUCGUUGGGGCAACGACCUUAAAAAAGUAACUAAGGUUAAAACAAUCAAAAAAUAAAAUAAGACUAAUCCACCAAAAAAAAGAUAAAACCCAUUACACACAUGCCAAACAAAUAAUGCAAAAAAAUAAAAGUUCCGUAGGGAUAACAGCGUAAUAUUAUUUCAAGAAAAUCAAUCUUAAAUAAAGAUUGCGACCUCGAUGGUUUGAAUUAC
rnacentral:rRNA from 1 species